rnacentral:lncRNA from 1 species
CUUACAGACUGCUAAAGGCUUCAUUAAAGUCCCAGGUAUUCAGCUACAGUGACUACAGCAAAAAUGUGGCUGAAACUUUUCAUAAUACGGGCAGGAUCUGCUUUGCCAAAGGAGAGCCCAGAAAGGCAAUUCAGCUGCUGAGGAAGGACAAGUAGCAGUUCAUCCAGAUGGAGAAGAGAAGCCAUUCCUGGAAGAAGGAACUCUACAUACAAAGGCACAGAAGCAUGACAGAGGGCAGUGUAUGGAGGAAUGGUCUUCUGUUAUCAAAUUGAAAACCUCUAUACAGGAUAGCCAACAAUAAAGACAACCUUGUUGAUGAUAAAAAUUCUCGACCACAAAAUGUUUCUCAACACUGAUAGCAGUGGCAGAUCUAAAACAACGGUUUUUUAUUAAGGACUCUGGGAAAAAAAAGGUCCACUU